CAGUCGCCGCGGGAAUACGUAGGGUGCGAGCGUUAAUCGGAAUUACUGGGCGUAAAGCGUGCGCAGGCGGUUCGUUAAGACAGAUGUGAAAUCCCCGGGCUUAACCUGGGAACUGCAUUUGUGACUGGCGAGCUAGAGUAUGGCAGAGGGGGGUAGAAUUCCACGUGUAGCAGUGAAAUGCGUAGAGAUGUGGAGGAAUACCGACGGCGAAGGCAGCCCCCUGGGCCAAUACUGACGCUCAUGCACGAAAGCGUGGGGAGCAAACAGGAUUAGAUACCCCGGUAGUCCCUGUCUCUUAUAC
rnacentral:rRNA from 1 species